rnacentral:rRNA from 1 species
GUGGGGAAUAUUGGGCAAUGGGCGAAAGCCUGACCCAGCAACGCCGCGUGAAGGAAGAAGGUCUUCAGAUCGUAAACUUCUAUCCUUGGUGAAGAUAAUGACGGUAGCCGAGAAGGAAGCCCCGGCUAACUACGUGCCAGCAGCCGCGGUAAUACGUAGGGGGCAAGCGUUGUCCGGAAUGAUUGGGCGUAAAGGGCGCGUAGGCGGCCUGGUAAGUCUGGAGUGAAAGUCCUGCUUUUAAGGUGGGAAUUGCUUUGGAUACUGUCGGGCUUGAGUGCAGGAGAGGUAAGUGGAAUUCCCGGUGUAGCGGUGAAAUGCGUAGAGAUCGGGAGGAACACCAGUGGCGAAGGCGACUUACUGGACUGUAACUGACGCUGAGGCGCGAAAGUGUGGGGAGCAAACAGGAUUAGAAACCCGUGUAGUCC